rnacentral:lncRNA from 1 species
CCACCUUUGGAGCUUCCACCGUUUCCUAAACCAUGCCCACCACCUCCGGUUCCGGUGUACGAGCCACCCCCAAAGGUGGAACUUCCACCACCUGUCCCGGUUCACGAGCCACCCCCAAAGGUAGAGGUUCCACCACCCGUCCCGGUUCACGACCCACCGCCAAAGGUGGAGCACCCACCUCCGGUUCCGGUUUACAAGCCACCUCCAAAGGUAGAGCACCCACCUCCAGUUCCGGUUUACAAGCCGCCUCCAAAGGUAGAGCACCCACCUCCGGUUCCGGUUUACAAGCCACCUCCAAAGGUAGAGCACCCACCUCCGGUUCCAGUACACAAGCCACCAACAAUCCCUAAGAAGCCAUGCCCGCCUAAGUCGCCGAAGAUUGAGCUUCCACCGCCAGUGCCAGUUCACAAACCACCGACUAAGAAGCCUUGUCCGCCCAUGCCACCAAAGAAAGUUGAUCCGCCACCGGUUCCAGUCCACAAGCCGCCGCCGAAAAUAGUCCUUCCACCGCCGGUACCAAUCCACAAGCCGC